rnacentral:rRNA from 1 species
GGGCGGCUACACAUGCAGUCGAGCGGUAGCACAGAGAGCUUGCUCUCGGGUGACGAGCGGCGGACGGGUGAGUAAUGUCUGGGAAACUGCCUGAUGGAGGGGGAUAACUACUGGAAACGGUAGCUAAUACCGCAUAACGUCGCAAGACCAAAGAGGGGGACCUUCGGGCCUCUUGCCAUCAGAUGUGCCCAGAUGGGAUUAGCUAGUAGGUGGGGUAACGGCUCACCUAGGCGACGAUCCCUAGCUGGUCUGAGAGGAUGACCAGCCACACUGGAACUGAGACACGGUCCAGACUCCUACGGGAGGCAGCAGUGGGGAAUAUUGCACAAUGGGCGCAAGCCUGAUGCAGCCAUGCCGCGUGUAUGAAGAAGGCCUUCGGGUUGUAAAGUACUUUCAGCGAGGAGGAAGGCAUUGUGGUUAAUAACCACAGUGAUUGACGUUACUCGCAGAAGAAGCACCGGCUAACUCCGUGCCAGCAGCCGCGGUAAUACGGAGGGUGCAAGCGUUAAUCGGAAUUACUGGGCGUAAAGCGCACGCAGGCGGUCUGUCAAGUCGGAUGUGAAAUCCCCGGGCUCAACCUGGGAACUGCAUUCGAAACUGGCAGGCUAGAGUCUUGUAGAGGGGGGUAGAAUUCCAGGUGUAGCGGUGAAAUGCGUAGAGAUCUGGAGGAAUACCGGUGGCGAAGGCGGCCCCCUGGACAAAGACUGACGCUCAGGUGCGAAAGCGUGGGGAGCAAACAGGAUUAGAUACCCUGGUAGUCCACGCCGUAUACGAUGUCGACUUGGAGGUUGUUCCCUUGAGGAGUGGCUUCCGGAGCUAACGCGUUAAGUCGACCGCCUGGGGAGUACGGCCGCAAGGUUAAAACUCAAAUGAAUUGACGGGGGCCCGCACAAGCGGUGGAGCAUGUGGUUUAAUUCAAUGCAACGCGAAGAACCUUACCUACUCUUGACAUCCACAGAAUUUACCAAAGAUGCUUUAGUGCCUUCGGGAACUCUGAGACAGGUGCUGCAUGGCUGUCGUCACCUCGUGUUGUGAAAUGUUGGGUUAAUUCCCGCAACGAGCGCAACCCUUAUCCUUUGUUGCCAGCGGUCCGGCCGGGAACUCAAAGGAAACUGCCAGUGAUAAACUGGAGAAAGGUGGGGAUGACUUCAGUCAUCAUGGCCCUUACAAAUAAGGCUACCACCUGCUACAUUGGCCUAAACAAAAAAAACGACCUCCCAAAACAACCGGACUUCAAAAUUACUUCUUAAUCCGAAUUGAAUUCCCACUCCACCCCUAAAAUCCAAUCCCUUUUAUCCUAAAAAAAAAACUACGGUAAAAACUUUCCCGGCCUUGUAACCCCCCCCUUCAACAAAGGAAUUGGUUUCCAAAAA